rfam:Gloeobacter violaceus PCC 7421 DNA, complete genome.
GCCGGUGUGGCGAAAUGGUAGACGCAAACGACUCAAAAUCGUUCGCCGAAAGGCAUGUCAGUUCGACUCUGACCACCGGCA